CUAAACAUAUUACCGAAGCUGUGGAUUGUCCUUUGGACAAUGGUAGGAGAGCGUUCUAAGGGCGUUGAAGCAUGAUCGUAAGGACAUGUGGAGCGCUUAGAAGUGAGAAUGCCGGUGUGAGUAGCGAAAGACGGGUGAGAAUCCCGUCCACCGAUUGACUAAGGUUUCCAGAGGAAGGCUCGUCCGCUCUGGGUUAGUCGGGUCCUAAGCUGAGGCCGACAGGCGUAGGCGAUGGAUAACAGGUUGAUAUUCCUGUACCACCUAUAAUCGUUUUAAUCGAUGGGGGGACGCAGUAGGAUAGGCGAAGCGUGCGAUUGGAUUGCACGUCUAAGCAGUAAGGCUGAGUAUUAGGCAAAUCCGGUACUCGUUAAGGCUGAGC
rnacentral:rRNA from 1 species